AGUCAGCUGAUGAGUCCCAAAUACGACGAAACGCGCUUCCUGAAU
rnacentral:hammerhead_ribozyme from 1 species